GAUGAACGCUAGCGGCAGGCCUAACACAUGCAAGUCGAGGGGUAGAUAUCUUCGGAUAUUGAGACCGGCGCACGGGUGCGUAACGCGUAUGCAAUCUACCUUGUACAGAGGGAUAGCCCAGAGAAAUUUGGAUUAAUACCUCAUAGUAUUAUUGAAUGGCAUCAUUUGAUAAUUAAAGUUCUAACGGUACAAGAUGAGCAUGCGUCCUAUUAGCCAGUUGGUGUGGUAACGGCAUACCAAGGCUACGAUAGGUAGGGGUCCUGAGAGGGAGAUCCCCCACACUGGUACUGAGACACGGACCAGACUCCUACGGGAGGCAGCAGUGAGGAAUAUUGGACAAUGGGCGCAAGCCUGAUCCAGCCAUGCCGCGUGCAGGAAGACGCAUCUAUGGUGUGUAAACUGCUUUUGUACGGGAAGAAACACUCCCUCGUGAGGGAGCUUGACGGUACCGUAAGAAUAAGGAUCGGCUAACUCCGUGCCAGCAGCCGCAGUAACAC
rnacentral:rRNA from 1 species